AUCAUCAGAACGACGAAAUGGCUGGCUGGCUGGCUCAGUGGUUGCCUGCUGCCAAGCCCCAUGGCCAGAGUUCGAUCCCCAAGGAUCACAUGAAGAGCUCAAUGUGAGGUAGAGGAUAACGUCAUGAUGCAACCUGAGCAGCCAAGGCCCACAGAGGACUGUCCCCAGCCACACAGAAAGUCCAGGAGGGACACUUUGAAUUUGAUGCUUGUGUCAGAACUUCCCCUACAGACAGCAGAACGAAACCUCAUCUGAAAGUCAACAAGGGCACCACCCAGUGGGAAGAUUGUAGCCACAUAAACUUUCCAUGAACUGCUCACUACAAGAUGAUCUUGGGUGAGUCUCGUACCUUCCCCU